rnacentral:rRNA from 1 species
GACGAACGCUGGCGGCAUGCCUAACACAUGCAAGUCGAACGAGAACUUCGGGCCUAGUGGCGCACGGGUGCGUACCGCGUGGGAACUAGCCCUUAGGUUCGGAAUAACUCCCUGAAAGGGGUGCUCAUACCGGAUAAUGUCUUCGGACCAAAGAUUUAUCGCCUUGGGAUGGGCCCGCGUUAGUUUAGCUAGUUGGUAGGGUACAAGCCUACCAAGGCGAGGAUGCAUAGCUGGUCUGGGAGGAUGAUCAGCCACACUGGGACUGAGACACGGCCUAGACUCCGACGGGAGGCAGCAGUGUGGAAUAUUAGACGAGGGGCGAUAGUCUAGUCCAGCAAUGCGGCGUAAGUGAUGAAGGCCUUAGUGUUGUAAAGCUCUUUUAGCCGAGAUGUUAAUGACAGUACCGGGUGAAUAAGCUCCGGCUAACUCCGUG